AGGACUGAUGCUGCUGUACAUGCAUGAUGACACAGAAAGCCUAGAGGAUAGUUUUACUGUGCAGCUGACAGAUGGCAAGCGCACAGUCCAAGGGACACUUUACAUCUACAUCAUGCCAGUCAACAAUGAAAUCCCUCAUCUUUCCAGUCCGUCGGAGGUGAGCUUCACAUCUCAAAUCUCGUUUAUGCGUUCCCAGUCCACGAAGCAAAUUUGAGCCCUUUAGUAAGGGAAGGAAGUGUGCCAGUAUUACCAUUUUCCACCAAGCCAUGGAGCUGGGAGUGUGCUCUUCUUCUGCACAGAGUCAUGAAUCUGACUCACAGUUUCAUCAAAACCCAUGAAGCUGAAGGACAAUUUAAGAAAAAAAUCAUAUGCACGUAUGUGGCAAAGCUUUCUGUCCCAGUCCUGUGGGAGCAGAUUUGUUGAAAUGUUUUUAAAAAAUUCUGUCUGCUUGAUGCUAAGAAGAGCCUGUUCAUGCUUAAUAAAUUGGAGAAAUUGCUCAAAAAUACUUCAUCCAUAUGAAAGCGCGAGCCCUGUACUGCUGCCAAGAGAAGUGAGACCUGUGGUGUCAUGCCGAUUUUGGAAGUUGAAGCAGCUGAGAAAAGCCAUUUCCAGUGCUGGGUCAGAAGCAGAGACCACAGAUGCUGCAGAGGAUGAGCUCAGUCCAACUCUCCCCAUAUGCCCAGGUUU